GUCCUCAAAUGGCUCACCGGAGUGUGGAGGCAAGAAGCUAAAUAACUAAGAUGUCACACAAUGAGUGGCAUCUUGGAGGAGCACUUCCUGGAGGAGGUGUUUCUGAGACCCCUCAGAGAGGAUGAGAAGGGGUCAACAAGGUGGGGGAGCGUGUGACAAGCCAAGGAAACAGCACCGCAUACACAGGAAUCCAGACAAAGAACCAAAACGAGAAUGGCAAAUUAUAAAGUCUGUUCAAAUUGUCAGCAAAGAUGGGAGGUGCUGGAAACCGUCAUACAUGCUAGGGAAUGUUGGGAGAUGCUACCCCAGGAGCUUUGCAGAGGAGCAUCACCACAGCAGAUGCUGAGAGCAAUGAAGCUCGGAGUUUUUCUCCCUUUGCCACUUUAACACUGUCUUGGCUUCAUAAAGACUCAUUGCACAGUUUUGUUGG